rnacentral:rRNA from 1 species
AGAGUUUGAUCAUGGCUCAGGACGAACGCUGGCGGCGUGCUUAAUACAUGCAAGUCGAGCGACGAAACCGGAAGGGGUAACCCUUCCGGCUGAAAGCGGCGAACGGGUGAGUAACACGUGGGCAACGUGCCCCAGACUCCGGGAUAACAACGGGAAACCGUUGCUAAUACCGGAUGACCCCUGCAGACCGCAUGGUCAGCAGGGCAAAGUUUUUCGGUCUGGGAUCGGCCCGCGGCCUAUCAGCUUGUUGGUGGGGUAACGGCCUACCAAGGCGGUGACGGGUAGCUGGCGUGAGAGCGUGGCCAGCCACACUGGGACUGAGACACGGCCCAGACUCCUACGGGAGGCAGCAGUAGGGAAUCUUGCCCAAUGGGCGAAAGCCUGAGGCAGCGACGCCGCGUGAGGGAUGAAGGCCUUCGGGUUGUAAACCUCUUUCAGCAGGGACGAAGCCUCACGGUGACGGUACCUGCAGAAGAAGGUCCGGCCAACUACGUGCCAGCAGCCGCGGUAAUACGUAGGGACCGAGCGUUGUCCGGAUUUAUUGGGCGUAAAGCGCGCGUAGGCGGCCGUCCACGUCGGAUGUGAAAGCUCGGGGGCUCAACCCUGAGAGGCCAUCCGAUACGGGACGGCUUGAGGCAGCUAGGGGAGAGUGGAAUUCCUGGUGUAGCGGAAAUGCGCAGAUAUCAGGAGGAACACCGGGUGGCGAAGGCGGCUCUCUGGGGCUGAUCUGACGCUGAGGCGCGAAAGCUGGGGUAGCGAACAGGAUUAGAUACCCUAGUAGUCC